GAUGAACGCUGGCGGCGUGCUUAACACAUGCAAGUCGAACGAUGAAGCCCAGCUUGCUGGGUGGAUUAGUGGCGAACGGGUGAGUAACACGUGAGUAACCUGCCCUUGACUCUGGGAUAAGCGCUGGAAACGGCGUCUAAUACCGGAUACGAGCUUCCACCGCAUGGUGAGUUGCUGGAAAGAAUUUCGGUCAAGGAUGGACUCGCGGCCUAUCAGGUAGUUGGUGAGGUAACGGCUCACCAAGCCGACGACGGGUAGCCGGCCUGAGAGGGUGACCGGCCACACUGGGACUGAGACACGGCCCAGACUCCUACGGGAGGCAGCAGUGGGGAAUAUUGCACAAUGGGCGCAAGCCUGAUGCAGCAACGCCUCGUGAGGGACGAAGGCCUUCGGGUCGUAAACCUCUUUUAGCAGGGAAGAAGCGAAAGUGACGGUACCUGCAGAAAAAGCACCGGCUAACUACGUG
rnacentral:rRNA from 1 species